rnacentral:tRNA from 1 species
GGGUGUAGCCAAGCGGUAAGGCACACGACUUUGACUCGUGCAUGCGUAGGUUCGAAUCCUGCCACCC